CCUACGGGAGGCAGCAGUGAGGAAUAUUGGUCAAUGGGCGGAAGCCUGAACCAGCCAAGUCGCGUGAGGGAUUAAGGCCCUGCGGGUCGUAAACCUCUUUUGCCGGGGAGCAGUGGUCCGGACGCGUCCGGACCGGGAGAGUACCCGGAGAAAAAGCAUCGGCUAACUCCGUGCCAGCAGCCGCGGUAAUACGGGGGAUGCGAGCGUUAGCCGGUUUGAUUGGGUUUAAAGGGGGCGUAGGCGGGCAUUUAAGCCGGCGGUCAAAGGUCGGGGCUCAACCCAGGCCUGCCGUCGAAACUGGGUGCCUUGAGUGGGCGAGAAGUAUGCGGAAUGCGUAGUGUAGCGGUGAAAUGCAUAGAUA
rnacentral:rRNA from 1 species